rnacentral:lncRNA from 1 species
AAUGAAGCUGGAAGGUGUCUGGGGCUCCAGUGGUAUGUCCCAUUCUUCAGCAGAACAGGAGUCAGCCCUCUCCAUGAACUUGAUGGCCAGCUCCUCUGAACUCCAGGCCUGACCCUCUGACUAGCGCUGGCCUUGCUGCUCCUUUGAAUCCAUCGCAACAUUUCCUCCACAGCUGACUUCCUGGAUCUUCACUCAUUGUGAUUCUCCUGUGGACUGUCGCCUCCAUGUGAAGAAUUAUUUUAACUAAUUACUUGCAUUUUAAGAUCUGAAGAGGCCAGAAUAGAUACCAUGUGAUAAUAAAAAAUAAGCUUUUAGGUAAUUUUGUUAAUUUCACCUGAGGACACUAAACAUUUUCUUGUGAUUGAGUGAUUUACUUGGGAAAGGAAAUAAUUUAUUAAAAGGUCAUUCUCUUUAUACUAAAAAGGGGCAAGUUGCAAAAAUAUCAGGCAAUUUAACUUUCUCAUGUUUUACUGUCAUGAAACAGUUCUCAAAUCUAGGUACAUCUGAAUUAAUACAAGAAAUGAGCUUUUUUUUUUGUAGGUUGAAUCUUAUAGAUUUAUUCACAAAUAAUGAUUCAAUACCAAUUUUAAAAAGAAACCCUGAUGCUAGGUAUUGUGGAG